CCGCGUGUGUGAAGAAGGCCUUCGGGUUGUAAAGCACUUUCAGUUGUGAGGAAGGUGGUGUCGUUAAUAGCGGCAUCAUUUGACGUUAGCAACAGAAGAAGCACCGGCUAACUCCGUGCCAGCAGCCGCGGUAAUACGGAGGGUGCGAGCGUUAAUCGGAAUUACUGGGCGUAAAGCGCAUGCAGGUGGUUUGUUAAGUCAGAUGUGAAAGCCCGGGGCUCAACCUCGGAACUGCAUUUGAAACUGGCAGACUAGAGUACUGUAGAGGGGGUAGAAUUUCAGGUGUAGCGGUGAAAUGCGUAGAGAUCUGAAGGAAUACCGGUGGCGAAGGCGGCCCCCUGGACAGAUACUGACACUCAGAUGCGAAAGCGUGGGGAGCAAACAGGAUUAGAUACCCUUGGAG
rnacentral:rRNA from 1 species